UAGCUACUGAUUUCUACAGUAUGCAAGGCAAUUAGGGAAUGACUUUGUCUGGCAAUGAAGAACGGGGCAAGAAGAAAAGAGUUAAUGCAUGCAAGUCAUUCAGCUGACCAAUGAAGACCGUCUGGAUAAGAGAGUCUGAAGAUAACUGAGUCACCACUCGUAUUCCUUGCUCAUCCUGCAAAAGAGGCAUCGUGUAGCAUCAAAGGACAGGAACCUUAUAGACUGCAUUCCUACCUCCCUCAAGGAAGGGGAGACUUGUGCAUGAACUCAUCCCUUCAGCUUGGAUUCUGGGCUGAAGGGGAUAAAAAUCUCUGACAAGGAGAAACUGGGACCUUUAUACUGUCUGGACUCUGAGGGGCAAAGAUGCCUAAACAUAAGCAAGAGAUUCCCAUGCUGCUUUGCACAGGUUUGCCUUAAAGGAUGUAUAGAGUUACUUAUUAUAGCAGCUUAUAUUACCUUAUAAAUCUCUGACUGUAACUCAUUUGUGUUUCCUGUUUUAACUUUGUAAAUAACAUUUAUUUUUGUAGUUAAAACUAACUAAAGAUUUAUUACAGGUAUUGUUUGGUUUGAUGUGAAUACAGUUGACCUGCAGUAAGUGACUGGUCCUUGAGCAGUAAGUUGAGUAUUGCAAUUUUUUUGGUGUAAGUGACCAUCUAUGUAUAUAGUCCAGCUUGCCUGGGUGUUAAGAUAAACAGUCCCUUGGGCAUUUUAGUCUAACGCCAUCAUAAGACAGAGUGCUUUAGGAGUUGUGUUCCAGUAACACAAAAUGGGCUCCCUUCUGGUUUGAAAAAGGAAGACUGUUAAUGGUCUUUAUGAUGUCUUUUGGUAUUACCAGCAUAGGUGGUGGCCAGCUUUCAGGUCAGUUCUCUAAAUUUUCCAUUCAGGUGGUGGUGGCUUGAGGAAGUGAACUGCUGAAGCUAUCCUAGCAUUUUUAUCCUGUUUUAGGGAGAAAAAAUGUGCAUUACAUCUCCUUCCAGGAUAAGGUUUCUGAUGAAUCAGUGGAGGAACUGAGCUUACGCUCUUCAGUCAGAAACGAUUAUGCCUGCAUGUCAUCUGGGAGUCAUUUUUUUUUCCAUGUCAGUUUGAGUUCAUUUUUCAAUCUUGUAUUUCUGGCCGUCUGCAAUAUGUUUGUAUUGUUUAGCCCAAUCACUAGUUUAUUUCUUUUUUUACUUUCUCACAUUAUUUCCCCUCCACUCCAGAUCAAGAGUAUAACCAUGGCUGAUCUGAUAAACAUGAUAUUGUAAUAGUCUGCCUUCGCUCCUCAUUCUAUUAGAUGGACCUGCUCAAACGUUUAUCAUUUCAUGGUUGUGCCACCCUCUAGUGGCUGGCCAAAAGAUAUAUAAAAGCCCUCCUCUUCUGGAGAGCGAGAUUUUCCUUAUGCUCAAGUGACAGAGAUUUGAAUUGAGCUAAAGUUUGAGACUUUUCUAUUAUGUAUGCAGUAACCUGAAAACCAUGCUGACUGUGGGUCAGUGGUCAUGCAUUAUAAUACUGUAACAUAUCCUGAAAAUAAACUUCAAAAUCUUUAGCCUAACAGCCCAGUUCUUGUGCCCCUAAGGAAAGAAUGGCCAGCACAUCCUUAUUUAUAGUUGUAGCAUUGUAAAUUUCAAAACAAUUUAUACUUUGUUGCUGGAGAGAGAUUAGGUAUAAAAACAUAAGAACACCUAUUGUUAUGAAAGGGAAAAAUAUUUUUCCCCCCAGAACACUAAAAAGCUAUCAGGAUCAGUUCAACUCUUUGAAUAAAUGACUAUCAUUUCCUUGUAAAUGAAGAGCCAGAUUUUGUAAAGCUAGUCUCUAUUUUCACACCAGUAAACUGCAAAUCACAAAUAAGUGCAAUUGCGGUUUUGUGCCUGCAUCUAUUUGAUAUCAAAGUGAUGUUAAUUUCAGCCACAAAGUACUUGAUUCAAGUGGGCAAUAAGAAGCUAGAAAUACAAGUGACCUUAACUGAGUGCACAAAGGGUUUCAGAUGAAAAGAGGCCCAGUUAUGUCUGAGCUAAGAAUGUGCACCCUGCUAUAAUACACAAAGCAGAACAUAAGAACCUCAGUUAAAACCAGAUAAUGCCUGGGGUUCAAGGUGUCCUUAGGCCCCAGCACGAGGUACCCAUAUUGCAUAAGGUUGGAGAGGAGAGCAACCACCAUGGAACCUAUGUCUCACCUCACACAUAGGCUGGGUGGAACCUUGGCUCUGCUCCUCAAUGGGGAACGUACUCCAAACCAGGUGUAGGGUGGGCACAGGGUUCAUCCUGUCUGGAGUAGAAAGGCAGCUGGGAGGUAGAUUGACAACAGGGCCUUUAAUUUCUGCUAGGUGCAAAGCAAAGCUUGCAACACUGACUUCUUUUGUCCUCUACAGUGAUAGUACCUUCACUGUCUUCAAGAGAUCAUCCUUGGUGGAAGCUCAAGUACAUUUAUUCAGCAUCUUUCUUCUAGUGCCACCUCCUUGCUUUCUUCCUGAUUCUGCUUCCAGAAUGAACUGUGGUGGAAGGAGGUCUUCUCUUUCCUGC